rnacentral:pre_miRNA from 1 species
UCCAAUAUGUUGCCUUCAUCUGCAUUUGCACCUGCACCUUACUUUUCUUUUUCUUCAACAAUCAAGCUUCUACUUUCUCUAUGUUACCCACCAGAUUUUUUUUUAUUCAAGAGAAGCUGCAGGAAACUGAAGGGAAUAGAGGUGCAGGUGUGAGUGCAGGCGAAUGCCAUUUUGGC